rnacentral:rRNA from 1 species
CCGUAGCCCAAGAGAUCGGGAUAACACCUGGAAACAGAUGCUAAUACCGGAUAACAACAGAUGAUGCCUAUCAACUGUUUAAAAGAUGGUUCUGCUAUCACUCUUGGAUGGACCUGCGGUGCAUUAGCUAGUUGGUAGGGUAACGGCCUACCAAGGCGAUGAUGCAUAGCCGAGUUGAGAGACUGAUCGGCCACAUUGGGACUGAGACACGGCCCAAACUCCUACGGGAGGCAGCCAGCC